rnacentral:rRNA from 1 species
AUGGACAUCGACGCGGUUGACCCACCGCUUCUCCACUUCUACUCCUACAACCUUCUCCUCCUCCUCCUCGUCUCCGUCGUCCUUUUCCUCCAACAUCACCGGCGAAGGCGAAGCCUCCAGGUUGCCGCGAACGGAGCGACCGGGCCCGGCAACCACCGCCCGCAAUCGAACCCCGUUCUUGGCAACCUCGUCGCUUUCCUGCGCAACGGCCACCGCUUCCUCGACUGGACAGCCGACCUCCUCGCCGCCGCCCCAGCCUCCACCAUGCAGGUGCUCGGCCCACUCGGCGGCCUCGGCUACUGCGGCGUCGACACGGCCAACCCGGAGGUCAUCGACCACAUCGUGCGCGCCAACUUCCCCAGCUACGUCAAGGGCGCGCGCAUCCGGGCGGCGUUCGCGGACCUCCUCGGCGACGGCCUCUUCCUCGCCAACGGCCGCCUCUGGACCCUCCAGCGCAAGCUCGCCUCCUACUCCUUCUCCUCCCGUCUGCUCCGCCGAUUCUCUAGUCGCGUCCUCAGGGACCACAUCCACCGCCGCCUUGUCCCGUUUCUCGCUGCCGCUGCCGACUCCGGCGAGGCUGUUGACCUGCAGGACGUGCUCAGACGCUUCACGUUCGAUAACAUCUGCAGCGUCGCGUUCGGCGUGGACGACGAUAGGUCGUCGGCGCUGCUGGAUGAUCACCGGCACGGGGCCUUCUUCGCCGCGUUCGAUGAUGCCGUCGAUAUCUCCUUCGGCCGUAUAUUACACCCCACGACCCUCGGGUGGAGGGUCAAGAAGCUGCUCGAUGUCGGCAGCGAGCGGCGGCUCCGCCUGGCAAUCGCCGUCGUGGACGAGUACGUGACGGCGAUACUGCAGUCGAAGCAGCAGCGUCAGAGUGGAAAUAGUGAGGACGAACCGGACUUGCUAUCGCGCUUCAAGGCAGCGAUGGAGGAAGACGAAGCCAGUGAGCUCGGCCGAAUCUUUGCCUCGCCGGAAGCGAAGCGCCGGUUCCUGCGGGACACCGUCGUGACCUUCGUCCUCGCCGGGAAGGACACCACGUCCUCCGCUCUCACGUGGUUCUUCUGGUUCCUUGCCGCCAACCCGCGUUGCGAGCGCCGCGUCUACGAGGAGGUCACGUCGCUGGCGCUGGCGCCGUCAAGAGAAGCCGACGCCGACGUGGGCCGCCUCGCCGAUGGCGACGUCGAGAGCGAAGACGGGUACGACGAGCUAAAAGGAAUGCACUACCUGCACGCGGCGAUCACGGAGACUAUGCGGCUGUACCCCCCGGUGCCCAUGGUCUCCCGCGUGGCCGUCCACGAUGACGUGCUGCCGGAUGGCACGGUCGUGCGCGCCGGGUGGUUCGCCGACUACUCAGCGUACGCGAUGGGCAGGUCGGCGAGGGUGUGGGGCGACGACUGCCGCGUGUUCCGCCCGGAACGGUGGCUCGACGGACGCGGCCGGUUCGUGUCGGCGGAGGCGGCACGGUACCCGGUGUUCAACGCGGGGCCGCGCGCGUGUCUCGGAAAGGAGAUGUCGUACCUGCAGAUGAAAGUCGUCGCGGCAGCCGUGGUUAGGAGGUUCACCGUUGAAGUACUGGUGCCUGCCGGGAGCAUGGACAUGGCACCGGAGCACGAGAUGGCGGUGACACUGAAGAUGAAGGGCGGGCUCCGCGUGCGUUUCAAGAACCGAGCGCGUGCAGCAUGA